AAAAUUACAUGACUUUGUCAAAGUCAAAUUAUAGGUGAAAGUCCUUUAUGUCUCU
rnacentral:tRNA from 1 species